UGGGGAAUCUUGCGCAAUGGGCGAAAGCCUGACGCAGCCAUGCCGCGUGAGUGAUGAAGGCCUUAGGGUUGUAAAACUCUUUCACCGGGGACGAUAAUGACGGUACCCGGAGAAGAAGCCCCGGCUAACUUCGUGCCAGCAGCCGCGGUAAUACGAAGGGGGCUAGCGUUGCUCGGAAUUACUGGGCGUAAAGGGCGCGUAGGCGGAUCAGCAAGUUGGGGGUGAAAGCCCGGGGCUCAACCUCGGAAUUGCCUUCAAAACUGCUGAUCUAGAGUACGGGAGAGGUGUGUGGAACUCCGAGUGUAGAGGUGAAAUUCGUAGAUAUUCGGAAGAACACCAGUGGCGAAGGCGACACACUGGCCCGUUACUGACGCUGAGGCGCGAAAGCGUGGGGAGCAGACAGGAUUAGAUACCCUGGUAGUCCACGCUGUAAACGAUGAUUGCUAGUUGUCGGCAGGCAUGCCUGUCGGUGACGCAGCUAACGCAUUAAGCAAUCCGCCUGGGGAGUACGGUCGCAAGAUUAAAAACUUAAAGGAAUUGACGGGGUCAUAGCUGUUUCCU
rnacentral:rRNA from 1 species